AAAAAGAAACGUACAAAAGCUGCGCAGUUUUCAAAGAACGACCCGGAGCCCCCCUUUUGAACCUGGAAUGAUCAUCUUCUUCAUGAAGAUUGAAGAAGUUAGCUCUUCAUCUGUCUAACACCAAAAACGACCCCCCAUGUAUUCCAUCUCCUUCAUAACCCCAGUUCCAGUCGCAACACCAACCAAAACACCUCCCUGACCAAGAAAGCCCUCCAUCGUCAUAGCUUUCCAUCUACAACACACAUACACAUAGCUGCAACGGGAGGGCAGCAGCAGCGAAAGUAGCAGGAGUGAAAAGGAGGCGACGAGUGACGUUCGAGAAGUUGAUGUAACAGUAGUCUCGAUAUAGGUUCGUCCGAGAUGUCCGUCUGCGAAUCCGAGGUGCCGAUGCAAGGUCCGUCGUUGAAUGUUGUCACGUUUCUGGCGAGGCUUCGAUGUUGAAGCUCUAACUCAUAGAUUCAAUUUUUUAAGGUCCGUUGGAUCCUUCUCUGUUUUGUACGUGUUGACUUUGAUCAUCAAUAAAAUUUGUUCGACAAUUGGAUUUUCUGGUGUUGAGACUCGAAGAAAAUUUGAAGAAAAAAACUUCAGUUUCUGAGAGUGAUUUUGAAGCUGUGUAGCCUCGUUUCGCUGCUAGAAUUUUGUUGGUUUGAGUCCAUUUUGGAGCUCGCUUGUGAGAUCUGCUCGAAGCCAGUCGUUGAAGUCUCGAGGUCGUUUCAUCGAGCGCCAGUCACGGUUCGAUUUUUGUACAAAUUUCCAUCGGAGCUUGCUGUUGCACUUUCAUUUGGCUACAGUGAAAGGUACACGACUGUAACAUUGGCUAUUGUAAGCUGAAAUAUGUGGAAGCAUGAAUACAUAUAAAAUGGAAGUCUGAAGUUUGAUUCAGUUUUUUUUUACUGAUUGUAGUUAGAACAUUUUGUAUACUAUUGUUAUGUAAUUUCUACUACUUUGUAUAGUUGGACUGUUAUAUGUUGAUGCCUAAGUAAUGUAGACGCAAUGGUUUAGGGUAGUUUAGAUUUGAUUUGUAUAUGAUUGUAUAAAGUGGACUGAAGUUGGACGUGUAUGUUUAUGCUAAUUAGCCUGCAUAUUGGUGCUAAUCACCAAUCUUGAUGUAAGAUGAUUUAUUCAUGUAGUUUAAAUGUUGAAAAAAAAAUCAGAAUAGUUUGAAGCA